rnacentral:rRNA from 1 species
GACGAACGCUGGCGGCGUGCUUAACACAUGCAAGUCGAACGGAAAGGCCCUGCUUUUGUGGGGUGCUCGAGUGGCGAACGGGUGAGUAACACGUGAGUAACCUGCCCUUGACUUUGGGAUAACUUCAGGAAACUGGGGCUAAUACCGGAUAGGAGCUCCUGCUGCAUGGUGGGGGUUGGAAAGUUUCGGCGGUUGGGGAUGGACUCGCGGCUUAUCAGCUUGUUGGUGGGGUAGUGGCUUACCAAGGCUUUGACGGGUAGCCGGCCUGAGAGGGUGACCGGGGACAUGGGUACUGAGAGAGGGACCAGACUCCUACGGGAGGCAGCAGGGGGGAAUAUGGCACAAUGGGCGGAAGCCGGAGGCAGCGACGCCGCGUGCGGGAUGACGUCCUGCGGGGUGUAAACCGCUGUCGCCUGAGACGAAGCGUGAGUGACGGUAAUGGGUAAAGAAGCACCGGCUAACUACGUG